rnacentral:rRNA from 2 species
CCGAACUGAGAGGUUGAUCGGCCACAUUGGGACUGAGACACGGCCCAAACUCCUACGGGAGGCAGCAGUAGGGAAUCUUCCACAAUGGACGCAAGUCUGAUGGAGCAACGCCGCGUGAGUGAAGAAGGUCUUCGGAUCGUAAAACUCUGUUGUUAGAGAAGAACACGAGUGAGAGUAACUGUUCAUUCGAUGACGGUAUCUAACCAGCAAGUCACGGCUAACUACGUGCCAGCAGCCGCGGUAAUACGUAGGUGGCAAGCGUUGUCCGGAUUUAUUGGGCGUAAAGGGAACGCAGGCGGUCUUUUAAGUCUGAUGUGAAAGCCUUCGGCUUAACCGGAGUAGUGCAUUGGAAACUGGAAGACUUG